rnacentral:rRNA from 1 species
AAAGCAUCUAAGUAGGAAGCCCACCUCAAGAUGAGUGCUCUCCUA